UCAGAUUUGUGAUAGGAUGAAGAAUCUUGAAACGGAAACUUUUCUGUGUGAUUCUGGUAGACCCCAGUGUAACCACAAAAGAACAUAGAAGAGAGAUGUUUGCUGUUCUACAUGACUGUACAUGGCAAGUCAGAAUAACUACCCUACAGGAAAAAAAAAAGUCCAAAAAUCAUUAGUGGCUGGAUACAGUUGUCUACAUGUAGCUCACACACUAAGCAGUGUCGGUGUCGGGAGGGGAGAGGUGAGCAGUUGGAGCAGACUCUCUUCUAGAUCCAUAGAGGUGCUCUAUUCAUCUAUUCAUCUCCUUUCUUCUUGGCUAGCCCUAGUCAUAUGACCCCUACCCUGAAGGGCAGGAAAUGAAGCUCAGUGUAAAGGUAGAAUGCAGAUAUGGGAGUACUGGCAGACAAUACAGCUGAACCUCAGGAGACAUGGAGAGCCCUCAUCACUUACAAGCUGGACCGCUUUCCUUCAAGUGACUACAAACACUUCCGAGGUGUACUGGCUGGUUUUGUGUCAACUUGACACAAGCUGGCGUUAUCACAGAGAAAGGAGCUUCAAGUGAGGAAAUACCUCCAUGAGAUCCAGCUAUCAGGCAUUUUCUCAAUUAGUGAUCAAGGGGGGUGGGCCCCUUGUGGGUGGUGCCAUCUUUGGGCAGGCAGUCCUGGGUUCUAUAAGAGAGCAAGCUGAUGGCCUCUGUAUCAACUCCUGCUUCCUGACCUACUUGAGUUCAGUCCUGACUUCCUUUGGUGAUGAACAGCAAUGUGGAAAUGUAAGCUGAAUAAACCCUUUCCUCCUUAACUUGCUUCUUGGUCAUGAUGUUUGUGCAGGAAUAGAAACCCUGAC
rnacentral:lncRNA from 1 species